rnacentral:rRNA from 1 species
AACGGGGCUUAAGUCAUGUACCGAAGAUGCGGAUUUGCACUUUAAUAGUGCAGAUGGUAGCGGAGCGUUCCGUAGGCCUGUGAAGGUGAACUGUGAAGUUUGCUGGAGGUAUCGGAAGUGAGAAUGCUGACAUAAGUAGCGAUAAAGAAUGUGAGAAACAUUCUCGCCGAAAGUCUAAGGGUUCCUGCGUAAAGUUAAUCUGCGCAGGCUUAGUCGGCUCCUAAGGUGAGGCUGAAAGGCGUAAUCGAUGGGAAUCAGGUUAAUAUUCCUGAACCUGAGGGAUGUGACGGAGAUAGUAAAUUGUAUACGCUUAUUGGAUUGCGUGUGCGGUGAAUAUCUUCCAGGAAAUAACACCCUCAUUAAAGACCGUACCCCAAACCGACACAGGUGGACAGGUAGAGUAUACCAAGGCGCUUGAGAGAACGAUGCUGAAGGAACUAGGCAAAUUGCAUCUGUAACUUCGGGAGAAGGAUGACCUGUAAAUGGGCAACCAUUUGUAGGUGGCACAAACUAGGGGGUAGCGACUGUUUAUUAAAAACACAGGGCUCUGCAAAGUCAAUAGACGAAGUAUAGGGUCUGACGCCUGCCCAGUGCUGGAAGAUUAAGAGGAGGGGUGCAAGCUCUGAAUUGAAGUCCCAGUGAACGGCGGCCGUAACAAUGACGGUCCUAAGGUAGCGAAAUUCCUUGUCGGGUAAGUUCCGACCCGCACGAAUGGCGUAACGAUUUCCCCGCUGUCUCCAGUAUCGACUCAGCGAAAUUGAAUUCUCCGUGAAGAUGCGGAGUUCCCGCGGUUAGACGGAAAGACCCCGUGAACCUUUACUAUAGCUUUGCACUGGUAUUAGGAAUUAGAUGUGCAGGAUAGGUGGGAGACUAUGAAGCGGUGGCGCAAGCCACUGUGGAGUCACCCUUGAGAUACCACCCUUUUGAUUCUUGAUAUCUAACCGCGAUCCUUGAAUCAGGAUCCGAGACAAUGCAUGGUGGGUAGUUUGACUGGGGCGGUCGCCUCCCAAAGAGUAACGGAGGCGCGCGAUGGUUAGCUCAGGUUGGUCGGAAAUCAACUAUUAGAGUGCAAUGGCAUAAGCUAGCCUGACUGCGAGUCUGACAAGACGAGCAGAGACGAAAGUCGGUCAUAGUGAUCCGGUGGUCCCGAGUGGAAGGGCCAUCGCUCAACGAAUAAAAGGUACUCCGGGGAUAACAGGCUGAUGAUUUCCAAGCGUCCAUAGCGACGAAAUCGUUUGGCACCUCGAUGUCGGCUCAUCACAUCCUGGGGCUGGAGAAGGUCCCAAGGGUUCGGCUGUUCGCCGAUUAAAGUGGUACGUGAGCUGGGUUUAGAACGUCGUGAGACAGUUUGGUCCCUAUCUGCCGUGGGUGUAGGAAGUUUGAGAGGAUCUGCCUUUAGUACGAGAGGACCGAGGUGGACGUACCUCUGGUGGACCAGUUGUCGCGCCAGCGGCAUAGCUGGGUAGCUAAGUACGGAAAGGAUAACCGCUGAAUGCAUCUAAGCAGGAAACCUACCUCAAAACUAGACUUCCCUAUCAGAGCUGUGGAAGACCACCACGUUGAUAGGCCAGGUGUGGAAGCACGGUAACGUGUGUAGCUAACUGGUACUAAUAGCUCGAUUGAUUUACUU